rnacentral:lncRNA from 1 species
ACACACUAAUGUUUCAUGAUAUCAUUCAUUGCACAUCAUAAUGAUGUCAAGCACUGGUGACAUUCUGGAGGCAUCUUUGUUAUGUUAUAUCCAAAUGGUUUUGACAUCACACAUUGAUGACAUUCUGGGAUAUCAAUUAUUGUUAUGUUGUACAAGAGAACAUUUGUGACAGCACUUAUUGCUAUGCCACAGUGAUGUCACAUACACUGACAUUUUGUGAUAUCAUCUACUGUUACUUCACAUUUUGGAGCUGUUGUGACAUUAUGACUUCUUCAUAGUGAUGACAUUACUAUGUCACAAUGACAUUACACAUUCUAUGUUUUGUUAUGAUAUCGUUGCUGUGGCAUAUUGAUGUUACACACUGAUGAAGUUUGUGAGGUCAUUCGUUGUUACAUCAUAGUAAUAUCAUGUUUAUGAAACUAUAAUAUCAUCCUAUUUCAUACUUUGCAACACCAACAAUAGUCAAAACAUAGGCUGAAGGAUUUAAACACACAUUUUAAAUUACAACACCAAAAUGUCCCAUCCCUGCAGUGAUUUUGAUUCAGAGUAUCCUAUAUUAUUUGUGGGGAGUGAAACUGCAAAGUUUGGUGCCAAUAGGUCAAAUGACAUGGGAAUCUAAGUGAAAUUGUUUGUUCUAUUUAUAUUACAGGAAACAGAUAGAAAUAAUGACUCAAAUGGGCCCCAUCCUUUGAGAUGAUUUUUGUACUCUGUGUUAUUUGCAGGGUCAUGAGAAAUCACCCUUCAAAGUUUGACCUGAUAGAUCAAAUGGUGUGGGAGUCUAUGUGGAACAGACAGAUAAAAAGCACAACCCCAUUAAAACCUGUCCUAUUUCCUAGGGGCAGGUUUGGUUUUAGGUAUCCUAUGCUACCUGCAGGGUCAUGGGAUAAAUCAGCUUUUACUGAUUUAUUGGCAUACCUUAGUAUGUGAAUUUAUGCAGAACAAACAGACAAACAUUGCAUUUUAUAUAUAGAUUUUUUAAUUUUAUUUUGUAUUAUGUCAUUAAAGAUGGAG